rnacentral:rRNA from 1 species
GACGAACGCUGGCGGCGUGCUUAACACAUGCAAGUCGAACGGAAAGGCCCCUUUGGGGGUACUCGAGUGGCGAACGGGUGAGUAACACGUGAGUAACCUGCCCUUGACUUCGGGAUAACUUCAGGAAACUGGGGCUAAUACCGGAUAGGAAUCCUUGCUGCAUGGUGGGGGUUGGAAAGCUUCGGCGGUUUUGGAUGGACUCGCGGCUUAUCAGCUUGUUGGUGGGGUAGUGGCUUACCAAGGCUUUGACGGGUAGCCGGCCUGAGAGGGCGACCGGCCACAUUGGGACUGAGAUACGGCCCAGACUCCUACGGGAGGCAGCAGUGGGGAAUAUUGCACAAUGGGCGGAAGCCUGAUGCAGCAACGCCGCGGGCGGGAUGACGGUCUUCGGGUUGUAAACCGCUUUCAGCAGGGGCGAAGCUUGUGGUGACGGUACCUGCAGAAGAAGCACCGGCUAACUACGUG